UACGGAGGGGGCUAGCGUUGUUCGGAAUUACUGGGCGUAAAGCGCACGUAGGCGGACCAGAAAGUUGGGGGUGAAAUCCCGGGGCUCAACCCCGGAACUGCCUUUGAAACUAGAUGGCUUGAAUCUUGGAGAGGCGAGUGGAAUUCCGAGUGUAGAGGUGAAAUUCGUAGAUAUUCGGAAGAACACCAGUGGCGAAGGCGACUCGCUGGACAAGUAUUGACGCUGAGGUGCGAAAGCGUGGGGAGCAAACAGG
rnacentral:rRNA from 1 species